CCUACGGGGGACAGCAGUGAGGAAUAUUGGUCAAUGGUCGGGAGACUGAACCAGCCAAGCCGCGUGAGGGAGGAAGGUACAGAGUAUCGUAAACCUCUUUUGUCAGGGAACAAAGACUGGGACGCGUCCCCGGAUGAGUGUACCUGAAGAAAAAGCAUCGGCUAACUCCGUGCCAGCAGCCGCGGUAAUACGGAGGAUGCGAGCGUUAUCCGGAUUUAUUGGGUUUAAAGGGUGCGCAGGCGGGUCGUUAAGUCAGGGGUGAAAGCCCCGGGCUCAACCCCGGUCCCGCGGUUGAAACUGGCAGUCUCGAGUUGGAGAGAAGUAUGCGGAAUGCGCGGUGUAGCGGUGAAAUGCAUAGAUAUCGCGCAGAACUCCGAUUGCGAAGGCAGCAUGCCGGCUCCACACUGACGCUGAGGCACGAAAGCGUGGGUAUCGAACAGGAUUAGAUACCCUUGUAGUC
rnacentral:rRNA from 1 species